rnacentral:misc_RNA from 1 species
GAACGCACCUUGCGCCCUUUGGCUAUUCCGAAGGGCAUGCCUGUUUGAGUAUCAUGAACACCUCAACUCUCAUGGUUCGCCAUGAUGAGCUUGGACUUUGGGGGUCUUGCUGGCUUAUGGGUCAGCUCCUCUCAAAAGUAUCAGCUUGCCAGUGUUUGGUGGGAUCGCAGGUGUGAUAACUAUCUACACUUGUGGCUUUCCAUCAAGUAACCUUCAGUAAUGGGGGUUCACUGGGGCUCAUAAACGUCUCUCCUCGGUGAGGACAGCUCUUUUAAAUGUUUGAUCUCAAAUCAGGUAGGACUACCCGCUGAACUUAAG